AAAUUGAAGAGUUUGAUCAUGGCUCAGAUUGAACGCUGGCGGCAGGCCUAACACAUGCAAGUCGAACGGUAACAGGAAACAGCUUGCUGUUUCGCUGACGAGUGGCGGACGGGUGAGUAAUGUCUGGGAAACUGCCUGAUGGAGGGGGAUAACUACUGGAAACGGUAGCUAAUACCGCAUAAUGUCGCAAGACCAAAGAGGGGGACCUUCGGGCCUCUUGCCAUCGGAUGUGCCCAGAUGGGAUUAGCUAGUAGGUGGGGUAA
rnacentral:rRNA from 2 species